CCAGUCGGAUGUUCUCUACUAUAAAAAAUAUUCAUCUAUGAGUUAAAAGCUGCCUAUUUUCCCUAAAUUUUGUAGGGUUUUCUGGUACCACAGAUAUGUCCAGUGAAAGUUUUGAGUUCUAUUUCCCUGAUUCAUAGGUCUAAUAGUAAGACUUUCACCUUGAAGUGACAAAAGGUGCAAUGAAUGUCCAUGGGUAAUAAUAACAUCCUGAGACAAAGUUGCGCUGAACAUGCCAAAGUUGCGUUGAACAUGCCAGAGUCUGACCUCUGUGAGGUCGGAAAGAUGUCUAAAGCUCUGUGGGAAUAAUGCCUGCCGAAAUUAGUUCAGUGCUUCACUGAGGCUACUCUCAGAAAAUGGCUCUGAAAUGAGAUGUAGCAUGUCAGACUUUGAAAUCAUGCAAUUAAGGUUUAUUUAAAAGUGGUACCUGAAAAGAAUGUGCUAAAAGCAUAAGAUCAAGUGUUUCUUUUUAUGUAUAGAUUACACCUAUCUAAUAAGUAUAUACAGUAUUAUAAAACAAGCAAAACUGAAAGUAUCCUUCCAAAAAAAAAAUGUACUUAAAGGCUCUUGGAUGACUAGAUGAAUUAGUGACACAGUAACGAAUCACUUCUUUUAAAAAAAUUUAUUUCACAUAGUUUUUGAUGGGCCUGUAUUCAUACUUUUCACUUUCUCUUUAAUUUCAUCUAGGAAAAUCAGGAAGAUUACAAACAUAAAACCAUGGAGCAAACACCUUGAGGGCAGAAGCCUGGAGAAAAACUAAUGAUGAAAGACAGCCAGAGCAGUGGAGUGAGGAAAGUAGACAAUGACUGAGAUUUUGCAAACCAAAGCUCAUCCACAGAUACUAGCUUGAAAAGGAUAUGUUUGCUCCAAGUAAAUUUCCCAAUUUGAGUUUUUAUUUUCCCACUCCGGACAGUAGUUCAGAGGAAAUGGGAAUAAGAUAAUGAAAAGCUUUUUAUAUGUUUCUUUAACUUUUAGGAGGAGCUAAUGUACCAUCUAUUUGAUGACCUCCCAGUCAAGCCUUAGUCAUAAGCAUGUAGAUUGUCUUCAGCAGAUGUGUUUUCCCAAUGCCAUCCUCUUUUAACACCCUCGUUAGUUCACUGCCUCAUAACCUCCAUUGUCUGAUAGCUGGUGGAAGCAGAAAAAAACAUAAAAGGGCAAAAAAAGACAAUUGGUUUCAGUAGAAAGUGCACCAGAUCUGGGAAACAGGGAUCUCUACCCUAUGAUAUGCUGAAGCAGGCUUAUAUGGACUCGGAGUUAGAAUUGGUUUUGUUAGAUUUUUAGGAAUUUUGUGAGCUAGUUGUUAAAUACAGCCAUUAUUAAAAAAUAAAUUAUGCAAACUUAAAUGUAAAGAAAUCCUACUAAAAGCCAAGAUACUGAAUAGUUAAUAGUUAUUCCCUCCAAAUUAUUUUGCUGUGUUUUACUUUACCAAUGCUUUUGAGGUUAUGCCUAUCUUAUGUAUAUGAUGGAAAUGCUAUAUAAAGGUAAACUUGAAGUUGAUCAAGAUGGAAGUAUCUACACCAAAGAAUUUGGCAAACCCCACAAAUCAGCGGUUGCUUACUGUUUUGUUGAUUGUCUAGGCUUUUUAAAUAAUGGAGAAAUAUUUUAAGUAAUGCAUAUUAAACCUAAAAGUGUGUCAUGUCUAUAGACAUUACAUUGUCAAUAGCAUGAAAGAAACUGAGGAAAUAAUUUUUAAGUAUUUAAAAACUAUUAUCCAGUUCAGCCAAGAAUCUGUUCAUGUAAUUGAUGAAGUAAAGUUCUAAUAUUUUCUUCCAGUUUUCACUUUCCUCUUCUUAAAGCAAACAAAAAUAUUCACCAGCAUUCAUGUCAGAUCUAUAAAACCAAGAGUUUGUCAAACUCAGCAAAAAGAUUCUGCCAAAAUUAAAUGGCUGUAUGGAAUUCACACUAAAGACUGUUACGUAUUUUACUACUGCUAAUCAUUUGUCAGCUGAGAGUUACACAUCUUUUACAUAAAGAAGAUUAUCUUGUAUGAUAUUACAAUGUAAUAUAUACAUAUGUUUUGUUUUGGUUACAAUUCAGUUGUUAAAUGCUUACCAUCACCCCAAUAUUUCUACCAUCCAAAAACUACUGAUUAUGGAUAAAUUGUUUAACUCUGUGAAUAUCAACUUCCUCACCUGCAAACAAAUGAAAUGAGUAUCUACCUCACAGGAUAGUUUUAAAAGUCAAAAGAAACGUUUAUGUCAAAACCCUGUACGGAUUGCAAAUGUUAUGUAUUAUCAGAAAUUCAGCAAAUAUGUUUUAGCUCCUAAUAUGAGCUCUAACAACUUGCAGAGUUUGCAAAGGUCACUAAUACUAUGGUCCCUACCCUCAAGUUGCUUACAAUCUAGUGGUGAGAAAUAUGUGUUAAUAACCUAAAAUUAUUUAAGAGUGUAUCAAAUGUUUUAUAACAGAGGAAAAAGUGAAGUGCUAUGAGAUUAUAGGAAUAUAAGGGAUUUUACCUGGAGCACCAAGGAAGACUUCGUUAAAAAAUGGAAUUUUAAGAUAAGCUUUGACAAAUAAGUUGCAUUUGUAUCAACUGAGAAAGUGGAAAGAGGGGCAUGCUUGGCUGAUGGAUGAAAUCUCAAAAACAUUAUCAUCACAAUGCCUGUUAAGAAAAUCAUAAUUGCAUUGAUAAAUCUGCUACAUAAAAACCGUACUUGUUAUUUCCAUGUAAAAUAGAAAUUAUGCAUUAUACAUUAUGCAAUCCAGCGUGCCUACCCAUAAUCUUACAUUGAAUCAACAGUUGACUCAAUGUUUAGUCAGUUUUUCCAACUUACAAACCAUGUCCCUUUCUAAAAACCAAAGUACAAAUCAAGCUCCUGCCUUCUUAGUGAAAGAAAAAUUCAUAUUGUAAAUUUUUAAAAUUAUUUUUCAAGAAAACUAUAAAAUAUAUUUCAUUCAAGUAUUUCACACGACAGAAGGCACUAUCCAUUAGACUUAAAAAGUGGUCACUGAUUUCAAACCUACGAAUACAUAAAUUACGCAUGCAUUAUGUGAACAAUGAAGGGCACAUCCAAAGUGAGGUUUUCAUGGGAGACUGGAACACUGAGGCAAGAGAAAAGUGAAAACAUUCUACAACCUUCAUGUAAACAAGGACUAACUACUAAAAAGCACGAUUUUAUCUCUCAGUUAAUAAGUCUUGCAAGGGAUGACAUUACUAAGUAAAGUUCAUUGCAAGCUUUUUCCUCUCGCUUGUCAAAAUAUGCUAGGUUUAUAUUGGUGACUCGAAAAAAACAUACAAUGCUUCGAAGAAAGCUUGACAGAGCACUCAGAAUCUGUCUCAAGUAUAACGCAAGGGAGAUGUCUAUUAAUCUCUCACACACACAAGUUUGACUCAAAAGGUCUGUGGCCUUGACCUCAAGUGACCAUGGAAUAGACCACAGGGCCAGUCCAGGAUCCAAAGGGAUUAAGAGGAGCAUUUGCUCUGCUCUGAAAGGCCCUUUUUUCUCCACUCUAGUUUCUAACUUCCCAUUACACACACUCCCUCUGCAAGGCACCGCGCCAGUGGAGCCGGUUCACUCUGUUCUCUCCUUGAUGACAGCUGUCAGUCUGUCGCCGCCUGAACAUGCAACAUUUCAACAAAAUCCAAAGCGGAAUUGGAAGGGCAGGGGCUGAAGCACACAGCCUGAUCUCCUUCCUGGAGGUCCCAGACUCCUUAACCAUCACCUUUCAACCUGCCGAAGGCUGCUCAACAUGAAGAUGUAGACAAAGACUUUUAUGAUGAUCCACUUCCACUUAAUGAAUAACUGAUUCAUUGCAAGCUCUUUAGUGCGGCAGAACAAGGCAGAUGACCAUUCUACAAAGGGGAGGCAGCCGUGGUGGCCCAGAGUCAGUAGUUGAAGCUGCUGGAAUGAGGAUGAUAUCUAGAGAGAAGUGAACAUUCUCCACCUAAAGCAACCACGGCUCUUUGAAGAAGUGACUGAAUCUAAGGCUGGGACAUAUGGCAUUUUUGUGUGGGUGCCAGAAAGCAUGAAAGCACCCAAAUAAUGGUAGGGACAUGUCAAAAAGGCACAAAAGCCAGUGUACUACAAUAUAAGCAUCACAUAACUAAUCAUAGUAGCAUAUUUCAGCUCACUUAUUAAAAGAGGAAACUAUGAUUUUAUAUUGAUAUAAAUAGACCUAAAAUGUGUUGAGUAACUGAAUUUUACAUAUUCUCAAAAUAUCUACCCCUGAAAUUAUUAAUUAUAAAAGAAUAAGUACCUGUAUAAUUUGAGUACAGAAAAAAUGUUCUAAAUAACACUGAAAAUAUGAGGAUAAUAAAAGAAUAAUCUAUAAAUUUAAUCAAAUAAAACAAAUAAUAGAGUACUUUUAUAUGGCCAGAUCACCAUAAGCAAAGUUAAAAGACAAAUUACAGAUUGAAAGAAAAUACUUUGCAGUACAUAUAGCAGAUAAAGAACUAAUAUUAAUAAUACAAGGAAUAUUUAAAACCAGGGGAAGAGAAAAAAAGCAAUAGAAAUAUGAA